rnacentral:snoRNA from 1 species
GGCCUCCAGAUUCCUUAGCUCACAGAUCUAAAUAUUAGUCUGAGUGGCUGAAAAAGGAGGAAAAGUAAAGCUGAAGUAGAUUUGGCAUCUUUAAUGGCAUAGAAGUUCAUUUCAAACAUUA